rnacentral:rRNA from 1 species
AGAGUUGAUCAUGGCUCAGGAUGAACGCUAGCUACAGGCUAACACAUGCAAGUCGAGGGGCGAGCAUGAGGGUAGCAAUACCUUGAUCGGCGACCGGCGCACGGGUGCGUAACACGUAUCCAAUCUACCCAUGGCUCGGGAAUAGCCUUUCGAAAGAAAGAUUAAUGCCCGAUGGUCUACAAGUAAAGACAUCUUUUCUUGAGUAAAGAUUUAUCGGCGAUGGAUGAGGAUGCGUCUGAUUAGGUAGUAGGCGGGGUAACGGCCCACCUAGCCGACGAUCAGUAGGGGUUCUGAGAGGAAGGUCCCCCACAUUGGAACUGAGACACGGUCCAAACUCCUACGGGAGGCAGCAGUGAGGAAUAUUGGUCAAUGGACGAGAGUCUGAACCAGCCAAGUAGGCCGUGAAGGAUGACUGCCCUAUGGGUUGUAAACUUCUUUUGUUUGGGAAUAAAGUGGGCCACGUGUGGCCUUUUGUAUGUACCAUACGAAUAAGCAUCGGCUAAUUCCGUGCCAGCCGCCGC